AAUGAACGCUGACGGCAGGCCUAACACAUGCAAGUCGAACGGAUCCUUCGGGAUUAGUGGCGGACGGGUGAGUAACGCGUGGGAACAUACCCUUUGGUACGGAAUAGCCUCGGGAAACUGGGAGUAAUACCGUAUGUGGUCGAGAGACGAAAGAUUUAUCGCCAAAGGAUUGGCCCGCGUUGGAUUAGGUAGUUGGUGGGGUAAUGGCCUACCAAGCCGACGAUCCAUAGCUGGUUUGAGAGGAUGAUCAGCCACACUGGGACUGAGACACGGCCCAGACUCCUACGGGAGGCAGCAGUGGGGAAUCUUAGACAAUGGGGGAAACCCUGAUCUAGCCAUGCCGCGUGAUCGAUGAAGGCCUUAGGGUUGUAAAGAUCUUUUAGGUGGGAAGAUAAUGACUGUACCACCAGAAGAAGCCCCGGCUAACUCCGUGCCAGCAGCAGCCGCGG
rnacentral:rRNA from 1 species